GACGAACGCUGGCGGCGUGCUUAACACAUGCAAGUCGAACGGAAAGGCCCUGCUUUUGUGGGGUGCUCGAGUGGCGAACGGGUGAGUAACACGUGAGUAACCUGCCCUUGACUUUGGGAUAACUUCAGGAAACUGGGGCUAAUACCGGAUAGGAGCUCCUGCUGCAUGGUGGGGGUUGGAAAGUUUCGGCGGUUGGGGAUGGACUCGCGGCUUAUCAGCUUGUUGGUGGGGUAGUGGCUUACCAAGGCUUUGACGGGUAGCCGGCCUGAGAGGGUGACCGGCCACAUUAGGACUGAGAUACGGCCCAGACUCCUACGGGAGGCAGCAGUGGGGAAUAUUGCACAAUGGGCGGAAGCCUGAGGCAGCAACGCCGCGUGCGGGAUGACGGCCUUCGGGUUGUAAACCGCUUUCGCCUGUGACGAAGCGUGAGUGACGGUAAUGUGUAAAGAAGCACCGGCUAACUACGUG
rnacentral:rRNA from 1 species